GAGUUUUGACUAAAACCCAAUCUCUAAAACUAUGCAAUACACUAACCACUUCAUUUCAGAAUGAACUUCGUACGAACCUGAUUUGUCGAAUUUCAUUGACCAAUCGAUAUCGGAUUGAGUUCAAAACUUGGGGAACAUCAUAAUAUCGCGGGAGAAGUCAUUUGGUAAGUUUUAAGUGAAAUCCAAUCUCUAAAACAAGGCAAUAUAGCAACCACCUCAUUUCAGAACGC
rnacentral:lncRNA from 1 species